rnacentral:rRNA from 1 species
GAUGAACGCUGGCGGCGUGCCUAAUACAUGCAAGUCGAGCGAACGGACGAGAAGCUUGCUUUUCUGAUGUUAGCGGCGGACGGGUGAGUAACACGUGGAUAACCUACCUAUAAGACUGGGAUAACUUCGGGAAACCGGAGCUAAUACCGGAUAAUAUUUUGAACCGCAUGGUUCAAAAGUGAAAGACGGUCUUGCUGUCACUUAUAGAUGGAUCCGCGCUGCAUUAGCUAGUUGGUAAGGUAACGGCUUACCAAGGCAACGAUGCAUAGCCGACCUGAGAGGGUGAUCGGCCACACUGGAACUGAGACACGGUCCAGACUCCUACGGGAGGCAGCAGUAGGGAAUCUUCCGCAAUGGGCGAAAGCCUGACGGAGCAACGCCGCGUGAGUGAUGAAGGUCUUCGGAUCGUAAAACUCUGUUAUUAGGGAAGAACAUAUGUGUAAGUAACUGUGCACAUCUUGACGGUACAUAAUCAGAAAGCCACGGCUAACUACGUG